AGGCGGCUGCGCGGUGCGUCAGGUCGCAUAAUCCCCGGGGCCGAUACCCAUCCUCUAGGGAGCUGUCCCUGCCGACGCCCUGGUGUCGGACACACGGCGCCCACCUGCUGAUGCAGGCCGCGGAGGAUACGCAAUACCAACGGCCGUCGCGGCUGUCCU
rnacentral:other from 2 species